UUUAAUUGUUUUCUAAACGCUGUCGUUUAUAGCUGUGAAUUUAGCAGCGUUAGUGGCGCUUUUGAUAAACGCCGUAGAGUUUAAGUAAAAUCACUCUAAACGUGGUAGUUUACUUAGCCCCGAUUUUCCUUAGUUCCCCCAACUCAGAUUUCCCCAAAUUGAUUUCCCUAAUUUCCCAUUUCAUAUUCUCCCAAUUUCCCUGAUUUCAAAUCCCCAAUUUCCCCGAUAUCAUUUCCCCAAAUUUCGAACUGAGGUGUCCAACGCCGGUGCCGUUGCAGUCGUCUCCACUUCGGCUUCCUCUGUUAGACGCUUCCUCUGUCGCCCGCGUCCUCCCUUUGCAAAAAUCAUUUGACAGCCAGUUUCGCCAUUUGCAAAAUUGAAUUUUUUGUUAGAUUUAGGUUUUGGCAUUUUCUUUAUCCUAUUCUGCUUGUUAAAAUUUGUUCCGACAUUGCACUAAUUUUCAUUCUCCUAUUCUAUUGUUUUCUUCUUUCUUGUUCGUGUGGAGUAUGCGGAAAUUGGGUUUCAAUUAUUUUGUUCUUUUCUUGAUUUUGUUCCCAAUCUGUUGUUGUUGGGUAAUUUAAUUUUGGUGGUGUUCGUGGGUGUUGUUUGGGUGAUAACAUUGGUAGUGUUCGUGGGUGAUAAUUUGGUUCUUAUGUCGUCGAGGUUAAGGUUAUUUAAUUUUGUUUUCUAUUUGCAAGCUGGUUUAUGUAAAUAUUUGCUAUCAGUCUAUGUGGGUAUCUACUGUACUGGGUUUAUGAAUGUUACUUUGUUUUCUUGCAGGGUCUUGGUUUGUGGAAACAUUUAAGUUAUCAGCAUUAGUUGGCAAAUAACAAUAUUGUUCCAGUGCAGGUUGCAGUUCUUUGCCAAGAUAAAAUACCUAGAAGAAAAGUGCGACAUCUAAGCAUUGCACAAAAUACUCCAAACUCGGCAGAAACAAAUAGUGAAUAACAGACUGCUAUUGGAUCUUCGAAUGUUUCGAUUACACCUGAUGAACCUACAGAAAUUCAAACUGAAAGUGGUGGGACGCACAGAGUUCGAGGACAUACUCUACAUAGGGAUUUAAACGAGUUAGAUCCAGUCGAGUGUGUCAAAGUAUGUAGUAAUAGUUUUGGUCAGCCUAUUGGAUCAGAAGCUCGACUUUUAGCAUGAUACUUGGGCAUUCUAGCACGAAAUGCAAAUAUGUUACCUAUCAACUACGAGUCAUGGCAUAAAAUGCCCGAUAGUAACAAAAACCAAACUCUCGAUAAUAUUAAGGCGAGGUUUGCUCUAGAGGUCUUGGAUUCUUAUGUAAAGAAGGCAUUGGGAAAAAGAUGGAGAGACCAUAAAAGUACUUUAAAUAAAGAUUAUUAUAAGACAAAAACAACCCUUGACGAGAAAUUACAAAAUGUCCCGCCGAGAAUGCUGAGGUACCAAUGAGAAGAGGCGGUUAGAUUUUGGAAUUCGAAGAAAGGAGAGGAUCGUGAACGAGUUGGAAAGAGCAGCAGGCAGAAACAAAAAUUAAUCACAUAGCUGGGUCAAAAAGUUUUGCUUGUGUAGUUGAGGCCGAGGAACUGUCGUCCUGUCAAAAAGUUGGACGCCUUCAACUUUUUGACAUUACACAUAGGAAGAAAGAUGGAUCUCCUAUUACUCUUGAAGCUGCAGAAAUUAUGGAAAAACUAAAGGAUAAAAAGGCAGAGUACGAACCGAUUGCUUCUAGUAAUAGUUCUGUUCAUAUUGACGACAUUGAUAACCGGAUUAUUACUGAAGUUUUAGUUCCUGAAAGGUAUGGUCAGGUUCGAUUUCAAGGAUAUUUUGUUAACCCAACCCAAUAUUUUGGAUCCAGCUUGCAAUAAUACAUGCCUUCGGGGAGUCAGGCUCAAGCUGAAGUUCAGAGGUUAAGAGACCAGAUUGCUCAGAUGCAAGCGACCAGAGUUGAGCAAAUUACACAACUUAAAGCGGAGGCAGUAUCGAGAGAAGCUAAGGUUCAAAGAAGAUAUGAAGAACUCCAGCUACAAGUUAAAGCAGAUGUAGCAGCUGAGGUUUAAAAGAAGUAUGAAGAACUCCAGCUGCAACUUAAAGUAGAUACGGCAGCAAGGGAAGCAGAGGCAGUAGUGAGAGAAGCAGAGGCUACAGUGAGGGAAGCAGAGCAGAGCAGAAAGUACGGCGAACUCCAACAGCAGCUUUAAAAUAUGAUGAAGAUGUUUCAACAGUCGCAACAUCCACCGUCUUAGACUAUCGUGUAAAUAUUUUUAUCAUUUUAACUUUUAACAUUUUUGUAAGAAUAAUAUGAAUUGUAUUUUAUUUAUUGAUAUUGAUAUUAUAUAUUAUUCAUUUAAUUUUAAAUAUUAUAUAGAUUUAUUGCUUUCA